rnacentral:rRNA from 1 species
UACGUAGGGGGCCAGCGUUGUCCGGACUUACUGGGCGUAAAGCGCGCGCAGGCGGACUCGUAUGUGCCGUGUGAAAGCGCCGGACUUCCUCCGGUGAGGUCAUGGUAGACAGCGGGUCUUGAGGCGUCAGAGAGGUCGGUGGAAUUCCGGGUGGAGCGGUGAAAUGCGUAGAGAUCCGGAGGAACACCAGGGCGAAAGCGGCCGACUGGCUGAGUACUGACGCUGAGGCGCGACGGCGUGGGGAGCAAACCGG